rnacentral:rRNA from 1 species
CCUACGGGAGGCAGCAGUGAGGAAUAUUGGUCAAUGGCCGGAAGGCUGAACCAGCCAAGCCGCGUGAAGGACGAAGGUGCCAAGCAUUGUAAACUUCUUUUGUCAAGGGACAAAAUCAGGCUCGAGAGCCUGACCGAGGGUACUUGAAGAAAAAGCAUCGGCUAACUCCGUGCCAGCAGCCGCGGUAAUACGGGGGAUGCGAGCGUUAUCCGGAUUUAUUGGGUUUAAAGGGUGCGUAGGCGGGCUGUUAAGUCAGCGGUGAAAGGCCGGGGGCCAACCCCGGCGGAGCAUUUGAAACUGGCUGUCUUGAGAUGUGGAGAGGUAUGCGGAAUGCGCAGUGUAGCGGUGAAAUGCUUAGAUAUUGCGCAGAACUCCGAUUGCGAAGGCAGCAUACCGGCGGCGAUCUGACGCUGAGGCACGAAAGCGUGGGUAUCGAACAGGAUUAGAUACCCGAGUAGUC